rnacentral:lncRNA from 1 species
GGGGACCGCGGUGACGGAAAGCAGCAGCUGAAGGCGGCGGCAGCGGCUGGGUUGACUUCCUGCCCCGGUCGGAGGAAGAUGGAGCUCGGUUAGGAGGCGCCUGCGGGAGGUGCAGCGGGAGCAGGCCAGUGAUACUCCAGAGCUUCAAAAUCAGAAGUAAAAUCAACUGGACAGUUGCCUGCUGCUUUCAUAAAUAGGGAGAAAGCAGCAUUACUGGUGUGGAUGCCAGCCGUGUUUGCUUCAUGUUUGCC